AAUAUUGCGCAAUGGAGGAAACUCUGACGCAGCGACGCCGCGUGAGCGAUGAAGGUCUUCGGAUCGUAAAGCUCUGUCCUUGGGGAAGAAGGUCUUCGGACUUGACGGUACCCAUGGAGGAAGCCCCUGCUAACUACGUGCCAGCAGCCGCGGUAAGACGUAGGGGGCAAGCGUUGUCCGGAUUUAUUGGGCGUAAAGGGUUCGCAGGUGGCCUUUUAAGUCAGAUGUGAAAGAUCAAGGCUUAACCUUGGUAAGCAUUUGAAACUGAAAGGCUUGAGUUAAGGAGAGGAAAGUGGAAUUCCUAGUGUAGCGGUGAAAUGCGUAGAUAUUAGGAGGAAUAACAGUGGCGAAGGCGACUUUCUGGACUUAUACUGACACUGAGGAACGAAAGCAUGGGGAGCAAACA
rnacentral:rRNA from 1 species